CGGCCUGGCAAGGGGCUAAGGGACACCUUGUUGGUGGUGAUGUUCUUCUUAUAUCAGUCAGGGGCAGAGCAGAUGACAGCUCUUGUUUAUCUUAGCUUGAUGUCUGUCUUGGUGGCCAAAGCUGGCUUAUGCCUAGGAGUCAUAA